UAUGAUUUGACUACUAACAACACAGGAAAAAGCUAGAAGAAUAAAUAACGGAGACAUAUUUUUUGCAAACUCCUCGUACAGUGUCAGAUAGGAGUAUUGUGGGAUCGCUCAUGUGAUGUUGAAACAGAAGCCAUAAACAUCAUGUUUUACCUCACUUAUUUACUCAUCACGAAAACCAACCUGCCUCCAAUAUAUAAGGCCGAAGCCUUCGCAAAAGUGACUAGCUUGUUGGCAGAAGAUCCCGUUUUCCCUUCUGCAAAAAUAGAAGCUGCAACUAAACAGAAAAAUACACUUGAAUGGAUGAUGACAUCUUGACCACGCUGACCUGUUCCUGAUGUUUUAAUUUCUGUACAUGUAUGUAAUGUAAAAAAUGACUAUAUUACAAUUGUAAAAUGUUGAUUGUAAAACAGUGGUUCACCAUAAUCUCAGUCUCCGAUUAUUUGAAAUAAUACAAUUUCUUUUUUCUAUUUGAUCUCACUUUUCUGUUAUGCCCGUGCCCUUAGUUAUAGAUAAAAAUACUCAAUUCCUGCGCAUCCGCAGGACCGCAUCGUAAUGCACAGUUUUUCUGUGACACAGAUGUCCGGGAUCCAUAGCGAAAGUCAGAUACUGACGGGCAUGAACAGGAGAUUAUCAGGUCAUUCUGCAAACAUGCGGAGAACUGACGCAUGCGCAGUACAUG